GUAGGGGGCAAGCGUUAUCCGGAUUUACUGGGUGUAAAGGGAGCGUAGACGGCAUGGCAAGCCAGAUGUGAAAGCCCGGGGCUCAACCCCGGGACUGCAUUGGAAACUAUGUAACUAGAGUGUCGGAGAGGUAAGCGGAAUUCCUAGUGUAGCGGUGAAAUGCGUAGAUAUUAGGAGGAACACCAGUGGCGAAGGCGGCUUACUGGACGAUCACUGACGUUGAGGCUCGAAAGCGUGGGGAGCAAACAGGAUUAGAUACCCUGGUAGUCCACGCCGUAAACGAUGACUACUAGGUGUCGGGGAGCAAAGCCAUUCGGUGCCGCAGCAAACGCAAUAAGUAUUCCACCUGGGGAGU
rnacentral:rRNA from 1 species